rnacentral:tRNA from 1 species
UCCCUAAUGGCUCAGAUGGUAAAGCGUCUGUCUGCAAUGCAGGAGACCCGGGUUCAAUCCCUGGGUUGGAAA